GAGCGACGCCAUCGCCGCGAGCCCAUGGUGAUGCCGAAUCUCUAUCUUCCACCGAAUCAUCAUUUGUGAAAUCUCUUGUUUUUUCGAGUAGUUACAUAAAUCUGGGUUUUUUGUGCCCAACGGCUUUUUCCCAUAAAAGGUGGUUUUGUUUUCACAUCCCUGGAUUGUGUGAUAUGAGACGAAGCACCUACGUCUAGGCGAUUCAUAACUAAACAAGUUUGAAAAAUGCAUAUCGUUUCUGUGCGAUUUAUCGAAUCUAUGUCACACCUUGCGAACAAAUCUUUCAAGAUUCCUACGACACAAUUUAUCGCUUUCCUGCAUCAAACUCAACGAAAGAAUCAAGGAUCCGUUUCAUGACAAGUAUGAGCCGACAGCAACACCGACAGAAUUGUUAUAGACACCGUUCACAUCGACACAGACGCCGAUGCUAUCAUCAUCACCAAAGGUGCAGCCAAAACAUAAUUAUUAAAAUCACCCUAAUGUCUCAUCCCAUGAUGAUUGGUCACACAACUGAUCUCGUCCCUGUCCAAGCAGUACUCAUCAUGAAAUAAAUAAAGCCUUUUCGGUAUUUUUCUGCCACAGAAUCUACACUUCCAUGACUCAAUGAUCUCCAUUCUGAAACAAUAAGAAAAGAGGCUAUUCGGCCAAACCAAGAUCAUCAAAAAAAAUUAA